GCAGAUUGAGAUGUUCCUCGACGAUGCUUGAUGACGUGGCAGCCGAGACUUUUUUUUAUUAAACAAAUAUUCAUGUACAAACAAUAAGGCAAUAAUAAUAGUUGUUAACAUUAAACAACAAUACACAUACACAUAUUAAUUAAUAUUUAAUUAAAUGCAAAAUAAUAAUAAUAAAAAAAAAAUAUAAUAAUAAUAAGGGGCUAGGGUUUUUCUUCUAAAUCAUAUUCACAUAUGAUGGACAAAAGACUAGUUGCAUUUUUCUUCUUAAUCGCUUUAAGGGCAUUUAUAAAUGAAACAAAUUCAGCAGGAAAUGCAUAAAACGUGGCAGCCGAGACAUGCAGCCUUCUAGGACGGAGCAUUUUUCCAAAAAAAAAAAAAAAAAAAAAAGGACGGAGCAUUAUUUAUUUUUAUUUUAUAUAUGUAUAAUGUACCCCCUGACUGAACUUGUAUUUCUUAUUAUUUAAAAAAAAAAAAAUUAAAAAUAAUUGUAAAAGGACGCAGCUGUGCGGUUGAGAAACGACCGGAAACGACUUAUAUGUCGCAAGGCCAUCACGUGACCACAAUAUUUACCAGAAGACCGUUAUUUGCUCGAUUACCCUCAACUUUUUUGUCGCAAAUAACAUCAUUAAUAACCUGUAAAUAAUCAAAUUUGUACACAUUACGUUCCUCUUCACUUUGUAAUAGUAUGUUUUUGGUUUAAUAGUCGGCUUUUAGUUAGUUUUUCUGUCAGUUUGAUCGUCAAAAUCUUGAAAGUUAUCUACAGCCACACAUCCACUGUAUACCAAGUUAUGAUGAUCAAUUAUGAGAAUGCAAAAGGAUUGAUAGAUCAGUAAACAAACAACAAAAAGAUGGGUGCUCAUGGUGGCCUCCGAAUAAAUACAUGGACAGGCUGCUAAAGAGGGUCAGGAUGAUGGAGAUGCAAGAGUCAAAGACAGCACAGACCAAACACCAGGCCAG